rnacentral:rRNA from 1 species
UACAGAGGGUGCGAGCGUUAAUCGGAAUUACUGGGCGUAAAGGGUGCGUAGGUGGUUUUUUAAGUCAGACGUGAAAUCCCCGGGCUUAACCUGGGAACUGCGUUUGAUACUGAAGAGCUAGAGUAUAGUAGAGGGAAGUGGAAUUUCCGGUGUAGCGGUGAAAUGCGUAGAUAUCGGAAGGAACAUCAGUGGCGAAGGCGACUUCCUGGACCAAUACUGACACUGAGGCACGAAAGCGUGGGGAGCAAACAGG